rnacentral:rRNA from 1 species
UAGGGAAUCUUCCACAAUGGACGCAAGUCUGAUGGAGCAACGCCGCGUGAGUGAAGAAGGUUUUCGGACCGUAAAGCUCUGUUGUUGGUGAAGAAGGAUAGAGGUAGUAACUGGCCUUUAUUUGACGGUAAUCAACCAGAAAGUCACGGCUAACUACGUGCCAGCAGCCGCGGUAAUACGUAGGUGGCAAGCGUUGUCCGGAUUUAUUGGGCGUAAAGCGAGCGCAGGCGGAAGAAUAAGUCUGAUGUGAAAGCCCUCGGCUUAACCGAGGAAUUGCAUCGGAAACUGUUUUUCUUGAGUGCAGAAGAGGAGAGUAGAACUC